GGAAGGGAGUAUUUUACAUUAUCAGUAGCCACCAACAGUGAAACCAACAAAACAAAGGAAAGCACCUUUUCACUGAAGGAAAAUUACGGAAGAAGAAGAACAAGUAGUUGAAGAAGUCCUACAGAUCUACGUGGUGACUGGUUUGGUAUUUCGACACGAGUACUAGAUCGCAGGUGACAUUGGUGAGGAUUACGGUAACUAGAGAGCACGAGUUGAGAGUUCUUGGUGAGCCCCGCACUUGUCCGCAUGGGCGAAGAGUCUAUUAUUUGUUAUGGUCUUUUCUUUUGAACUAUUAGAGUUGCUUCACAGUCAUUUGAUUUAUUCCAUGAGUAUUCUUUAUUUAUUAUAGACUGGUGACUAGUAUUAGACGUUUUUCCCGUAUUUCAGAGAUGUUUUAGUAUUAUUACGUUGAAAACGGAUUGAUUGAGGAUGAUUGCAUUUAGUUUGGUUUAGAUUGGAUAUUUCUGUUGUUGAUUUUGAGACAGGAAAGUUUUGGAUAGUCAUAAAAACAGGGAAAACUCUGGCUGAUUUUCUGUAAA